CAGUCUUACUGACGUUCAUGCUCGAAGGUGCGGGUAUCGAACAGGAUUAGAUACCCUGGUAGUCCGCACGGUAAACGAUGGAUGCCCGCUGUUGGCGACACACAGUCAGCGGCCAAGCGAAAGCAUUAAGCAUCCCACCUGGGGAGUACGCCGGCAACGGUGAAACUCAAAGGAAUUGACGGGGGCCCGCACAAGCGGAGGAACAUGUGGUUUAAUUCGAUGAUACGCGAGGAACCUUACCCGGGCUUGAACUGCAGCGGAAGGAUACAGAGAUGUUGACGCCCUUCGGGGCCGCUGUGGAGGUGCUGCAUGGUUGUCGUCAGCUCGUGCCGUGAGGUGUCGGCUUAAGUGCCAUAACGAGCGCAACCCCUUUCUUCAGUUGCCAUCGGGUGAUGCCGGGCACUCUGGAGACACUGCCACCGCAAGGUGUGAGGGAGGUGGGGACGACGUCAAAUCAGCACGGCCCUUACGUCCGGGGCUACACACGUGUUACAAUGGGUGGUACAGAGAGAUAGUGCUGCGCAAGCCGCAUUGAAUCAUGAAAUCCAUCCUCAGUUCGGAUUGGGGUCUGCAACCCGACCCCAUGAAGCUGGAUUCGCUA
rnacentral:rRNA from 1 species